GAAGGAGCACUUGGAAAUAGCAUAUAAGAUAAAAGAUUGGAAUGAUGAUAAUGACUUUCUAGUUCAGCUAUGCAAAUUGACAGGAAAGCUUUUGAAGGGUGGUGAACCUGACUUGAUGACUGCGGCAAAUUAAGAUGGUCCUCCAUGACUGGCAGAGAGGUUAAAUACUCUUUUCUGUGCCCCCUCCACUACAAGAAGACAAGUCGUCAGAUGAACCCAAUGUUUUUGGUGCUGACCAAGAUGAAGUGGGUAGUAGUUAGGCAUCUGCAGCAGCUUUCAGAGCUAUUGCAAAUGUUAUUUCCUCCCAGCAGCAAAUGUCUGUCCCUGUUCAAAGGGAUCUCUUCAGUGAGAACGAGUUAAGGGGU